UGGGGAAUUUUGGACAAUGGGCGAAAGCCUGAUCCAGCAAUGCCGCGUGUGUGAAGAAGGCCUUCGGGUUGUAAAGCACUUUUGUCCGGAAAGAAAUCCUUGGCUCUAAUACAGUCGGGGGAUGACGGUACCGGAAGAAUAAGCACCGGCUAACUACGUGCCAGCAGCCGCGGUAAUACGUAGGGUGCAAGCGUUAAUCGGAAUUACUGGGCGUAAAGCGUGCGCAGGCGGUUUGCUAAGACCGAUGUGAAAUCCCCGGGCUCAACCUGGGAACUGCAUUGGUGACCGGCAGGCUAGAGUAUGGCAGAGGGGGGUAGAAUUCCACGUGUAGCAGUGAAAUGCGUAGAGAUGUGGAGGAAUACCGAUGGCGAAGGCAGCCCCCUGGGCCAAUACUGACGCUCAUGCACGAAAGCGUGGGGAGCAAACAGGAUUAGAUACCCUGGUAGUCCACGCCCUAAACGAUGUCAACUAGUUGUU
rnacentral:rRNA from 1 species